UACGUAGGGGGCGAGCGUUGUCCGGAAUCAUUGGGCGUAAAGCGCGUGUAGGCGGCCCGGUAAGUCCGCUGUGAAAGUCCAGGGCUCAACCCUGGGAUGCCGGUGGAUACUGUCGGGCUCGAGUCCGGAAGAGGCGAGUGGAAUUCCUGGUGUAGCGGUGAAAUGGCGCAGAUAUCAGGAGGAACACCGGGUGGCGAAGGUGGGUCUCUGGGCCGAUACUGACGCUGAGGAGCGAAGCAUGGGGAGCGAACAGGA
rnacentral:rRNA from 1 species